ACGCGUGGAACCUUACCAGGUCUUGACAUCCUUAUGCCCUCCCUAGAGAUAGGGAUUUCCCUUCGGGGACAUAAGUGACAGGUGGUGCAUGGUUGUCGUCAGCUCGUGUCGUGAGAUGUUGGGUUAAGUCCCGCAACGAGCGCAACCCUUGAUCUUAGUUGCCAGCAUUUAGUUGGGCACUCUAAGGUGACUGCCGGUGACAAACCGGAGGAAGGUGGGGAUGACGUCAAAUCAUCAUGCCCCUUAUGACCUGGGCUACACACGUGCUACAAUGGAUGGUACAAAGGGCAGCAAAGCGGUGACGCCUAGCGAAUCCCAUAAAACCAUUCUCAGUUCGGAUUGUAGGCUGCAACUCGCCUACAUGAAGCUGGAAUCGCUAGUAAUCGCGGAUCAGCAUGCCGCGGUGAAUACGUUCCCGGGCCUUGCACUCACCGCCCGU
rnacentral:rRNA from 1 species